rnacentral:rRNA from 1 species
AUGGCGCAUCCGCCCCCGCGGAACUGGGCCAUGGCGCCGCCGUACCACUACCACGGGACGUCGCAGCAGGAGCAGGCGGCGCCAGCCGCGGAGGACGAGAGCGGAGCCGGGUCCGGAGGGCAGGAGGCAGAGUCGAGGUCACUCCGGAUCCGCGAACUUUUCCCCUGGAUGGACGAGGACUACCUGCGCAGCUGCUUCACCCGCUCGCCGGAGCGGAGCCGGGUCUGGAUGGUUUGCGAUUAUUGUUUUUGUAGCUACCGAACUCUUUUUGUUGGUCAACUUGAUUCAUGUGUGACUGAUGAGGAUCUAGAUAAAGCCUUCAGUCCUUUUGGAGAGCUUACUGUCAAGGUAAUAGAGGGGAAGAACUAUGGCUUCGUCACAUAUUCGAGCAGGGCAUCAGCUGUGGAGGCCAUGACAAUUCUAAAUGGAAGCCAGCUGGGAGAUAAUAUCAUAACAGUUAACUGGGCUCGUCCUACUCCUAAGAAGCAGGAUCAAUGGAAUGGUGUGGACUAUGGACACCCCCAAAGCUCUGGUCCUGGCUAUGGUUGCUGUCCCGAGGAUCCUAACAUUCUUGGUUACACAGGCCAUCCUGGAUAUGCAUAUCACCAACAGCAGCAGCCACAGCAGACCUCAGUACAGUGA